rnacentral:rRNA from 1 species
AGUGAACGCUGGCGGUAGGCCUAACACAUGCAAGUCGAACGGCAGCACAGUAAGAGCUUGCUCUUACGGGUGGCGAGUGGCGGACGGGUGAGGAAUACAUCGGAAUCUACUUUUUCGUGGGGGAUAACGUAGGAAAACUUACGCUAAUACCGCAUACGACCUACGGGUGAAAGCAGGAGAUCUUCGGACCUUUCGCAACUGAAUGAGACGAUGUCGGAUUAGCUAGUUGGCGGGGUAAAGGCCCACCAAGGCAACGAUCCGUAGCUGGUCUGAGAGGAUGAUCAGCCACACUGGAACUGAGACACGGUCCAGACUCCUACGGGAGGCAGCAGUGGGGAAUAUUGGACAAAGGGCGCAAGCCUGAUCCAGCCAUACCGCGUGGGUGAAGAAGGCCUUCGGGUUGUAAAGCCCUUUUGUUGGGAAAGAAAAGCAGCAGGUUAAUCCCCCGCUGUUCUGACGGUACCCAAAGAAUAAGCACCGGCUAACUUCGUG